rnacentral:rRNA from 1 species
UACCAGCACCCCGAGUGGUCGGGACGAUUAUUGGGCCUAAAGCAUCCGUAGCCGGUUUUACAAGUCCUCCGUUAAAUCCAACUGCUUAACAGAUGGGCCGCGGAGGAUACUAUAAGACUAGGAGGCAGGAGAGGCAAGCGGUACUCAGUGGGUAGGGGUAAAAUCCGUUGAUCCAUUGAAGACCACCAGUGGCGAAGGCGGCUUGCCAGAAUGCGCUCGACGGUGAGGGAUGAAAGCUGGGGAGCAAACCGG